CAGUAGCCGCGGUAAUACAGAGGGUGCGAGCGUUAAUCGGAUUUACUGGGCGUAAAGCGUGCGUAGGCGGCUUCUUAAGUCGGAUGUGAAAUCCCUGAUCUUAACUUAGGAAUUGCAUUCGAUACUGGGAAGCUAGAGUAUGGGAGAGGAUGGUAGAAUUCCAGGUGUAGCGGUGAAAUGCGUAGAGAUCUGGAGGAAUACCGAUGGCGAAGGCAGCCAUCUGGCCUAAUACUGACGCUGAGGUACGAAAGCAUGGGGAGCAAACAGGAUUAGAUACCCCUGUAGUCCCUGUCUCUUAUAA
rnacentral:rRNA from 1 species